AAAGUUGUAGCGCGGAUCUUCGAUAAGACGAAUAGUCGAAAAUCUGUUUCUCAUUUACCUAUCUAUCCAAGUUAUGAACAAAGAAGAUGAGUUUGGAACACAUAUCGAACGACAAAUCUCUCGAGCUAGUUUGACCAUUGACCGCAAACUGAAGUGAGUAAACCUUACCAAUCUGUGAAAAAUUUAGAUACAAAUUUCACUUAUUUGUUACCCUAAAAGUGUUAAGUACUUGUACAUACAAA
rnacentral:lncRNA from 1 species